GACGUAGGGUGCGAGCGUUGUCCGGAUUUAUUGGGCGUAAAGAGCUCGUAGGCGGCUCGUCGCGUCGACCGUGAAAACCCGCGGCUUAACUGCGGGCUUGCGGUUGAUACGGGCGGGCUAGAGUUCGGUAGGGGAGACUGGAAUUCCUGGUGUAGCGGUGAAAUGCGCAGAUAUCAGGAGGAACACCGGUGGCGAAGGCGGCCAACUGGUCCGGUACUGACGCUGAGGUGCGAAAGCGUGGGGAGCAAACAGG
rnacentral:rRNA from 1 species